GACGAACGCUGGCGGCGUGCUUAACACAUGCAAGUCGAACGGUAAGGCCCUUCGGGGUACACGAGUGGCGAACGGGUGAGUAACACGUGGGUGAUCUGCCCUGCACUUCGGGAUAAGCCUGGGAAACUGGGUCUAAUACCGGAUAGGACCACUGCCUGCAUGGGUGGUGGUGGAAAGCUUUUGCGGCGUGGGAUGGGCCCGCGGCCUAUCAGCUUGUUGGUGGGGUGAUGGCCUACCAAGGCGACGACGGGUAGCCGGCCUGAGAGGGUGACCGGCCACACUGCGACUGAGAUACGGCCCAGACUCCUACGGGAGGCAGCAGUGGGGAAUAUUGCACAGUGGGCGCAAGCCUGGUGCAGCGACGCCGCGUGAGGGAUGACGGCCUUCGGGUUGUAAACCUCUUUCAGCACCGACGAAGCGCAAGUGACGGUAGGUGCAGAAGAAGGACCGGCCAACUACGUGCCAGCCGCCGCAGUAA
rnacentral:rRNA from 1 species